GGUCAAGUGAAGAAGCGCAUACGGUGGAUGCCUUGGCAGUCAGAGGCGAUGAAAGACGUGGUAGCCUGCGAAAAGCUUCGGGGAGUCGGCAAACAGACUUUGAUCCGGAGAUGUCUGAAUGGGGGAACCCAGCCAUCAUAAGAUGGUUAUC
rnacentral:rRNA from 1 species